rnacentral:lncRNA from 1 species
AAUGGAGGGGGAAGAAGCUUUUUGGAUGCAGAGCGAAUUAAAGGUUACCACUUUCUACUUUCUAUUACUCCUCAAUUGAUUAUUCAACUUUUUGUUUUUAGUUUUUAGAAGAUAUGUUGAUCUGUCUUUUUUUCGGCUUUACGAAAUAUAUACAUGAGUUCUGCUCUUCUGUAACCUCUUAAGCUACAAACUUGUAUGUGUUGUUGUUUGGCUUUGCAGCCAGAAGCCAAAACUACUAAGGCAUCUCCACUUCACGGGCCUUGGUCGUCAGCCGGAACAAACUAGCUUAAACCCUUCUUCUAGCAACUUCUCCACUUCUUCAAACUGAAGCCCUUUAGUCUAAGGCACAAACAGACAGAUUAAGAACAGCCCGAAUGCCGAGGACUCUGCAAAGAGAAGGCCUUGAAGGAUUUAACUUGAGGUACAAGUUUAUUACAAUUCUCUGUUGACUGGUAAAAUUUUGUUACGGGUACUUAUAUUGAAGAUCAUACACCUUCUCUGCUCUUGACUUGAAUGAAGAGUAAGAUCUCCCUCUCUUUCUCCGUUCCUGUCCUAAGUUGUUAUGUACUGGGUGUUGGUUUAACUUUAACGAUGAAUGAAGC